rnacentral:misc_RNA from 1 species
GAAAUGCGAUAAGUAGUGUGAAUUGCAGAAUUCAGUGAAUCAUCGAAUCUUUGAACGCACAUUGCGCCCCUCGGCAUUCCGUGGGGCAUGCCUGUUCGAGCGUCAUCUACACCCUCAAGCUCUGCUUGGUGUUGGGCGUCUGUCCCGCCUCCGCGCGCGGACUCGCCCCAAAUGCAUUGGCAGCGGUUCCUUGCCCCCCUCUUUGCGCAGCACAUUGCCAUUCGAGGCGGCGGCGGUCCGCGUCCAACAAGCUCAACCCCCCCGUCUUUGACCUCGGAUCAGGUAGGGAUACCCGCUGAACUUAAGC